AGGGGUAUAGCUCAGUGGUAGAAUGCAUGCUUAGCAAGUGUUAGGCCUGGGUUUGAUCCCUGUACCCCCU
rnacentral:tRNA from 1 species